rnacentral:rRNA from 1 species
GGAUGCGAUCAUACCAGCACUAAUGGAACUCCGAAGUAAGCGUGCUUCGAGAGUAGUACUAGGAUGGGUGACCCCCUGGGAAGUCCUCGUGUUGCCCCCA